AAAUCCCUAAUUCUCCUUCCGCUUCCUCAAUCAGUGUAUGAUGAUAAUGAUGAUGAUGAUAUUAUGUUUAUUUAUUUUUUUAUAAUUAGUAUUUUGUAAAUAUAAAAAAUUAAUAGUAAUAUAACAGUUUUAAAGUAUUAUAAAUUCACGUAAGUAUAUAAUUUGCAUGUCAAUAGCAUAAUUAAUAAUUGAUAAAAAUGAAAAGAAAAGCAUUUAGUAACCGUUUACUUGGAAAAAAAAAUUGAUUUAACAUUUUAAUUUAAAAAUUUAUCAAAAAAUAUAUUUCAUAAGUAACAAAAGGUAGCCAUUAGGAUUUGAAUACCAGCAACAAGGCUAAAAGGAGAAUGGGCCAAAACAUCCAUAAACAUGUCAGUGUAUCAAACAUAAGUUAUUCCAGCUAGUGCAAGCAGUUAAGCACAUUGACUCAUUGUUCAUCCAUAAACAUGUCCAGAGACUUCGGUACUAUUGGAUGAGAAUGGUAUGCAUUGGUUCUAGGCUCUCUUUCGGAGGGGAAGAUGUGCUGGGUCUCUAUAUGGCUUCGUCUCUUGGAGACUUACCUUUUGCCAUGAAGGAAAACAAAGAGUGGAAGAUUUCAGCCUAUGGGUCUUUUCAUAGACUCUCAGUUUGGAAGUCCUCAUCCACUUUCCUUUUGGUCUGCUCCACCUGGUUGUGUGAAACAGAAAAUCAAUAGCUCUUCGUAAGGGAAACCUGGUCCCUGUUUCAUUGGGGGUGUUCUCCGUGAUCACAGAGGUUUAUACAUGUGUGUCCUUUCUAAGUGAAGCAAAUUUGGUUGCCUAUUGUUUAGCUAACCAGGGUCACUCUCGCAUGUCUUCACAGCUUUUUUUUUUUAGAAUUGUCUGGAUUUUGCUGUGUCUUUGUUGAUCUGAUAUGAUUUUAGUCUGUUUUGGUCCUUAUUGCGGUGAGGAGGUUGCUGCUUUACGUCGGGUCUUGUGGGGAAUGUCUGUUGGCAUGGGCUAGGUUGCAGCUUUCCUCAUCUUCUGUAUCUUCUUUUUCUUUAAUGAAAUUUCUUGCUAAUAAAAAAAAUUCAAAAAGAAAAUCAAUUACCAAUUAA